rnacentral:rRNA from 1 species
AACGAACGCUGGCGGCAGGCUUAACACAUGCAAGUCGAGCGCCCCGCAAGGGGAGCGGCAGACGGGUGAGUAACGCGUGGGAACGUACCUUUUGGUUCGGAACAACUCCGGGAAACUGGAGCUAAUACCGGAUAAGCCCUAACGGGGAAAGAUUUAUCGCCGAAAGAUCGGCCCGCGUCUGAUUAGCUAGUUGGUGAGGUAACGGCUCACCAAGGCGACGAUCAGUAGCUGGUCUGAGAGGAUGAUCAGCCACACUGGGACUGAGACACGGCCCAGACUCCUACGGGAGGCAGCAGUGGGGAACAUUGGACAAUGGGCGCAAGCCUGAUCCAGCCAUGCCGCGUGAGUGAUGAAGGCCUUAGGGUUGUAAAGCUCUUUUGUCCGGGAAGAUAAUGACUGUACCGGAAGAAUAAGCCCCGGCUAACUUCGUG